rnacentral:lncRNA from 1 species
ACUGUGAGGGAGGGAACGACUCCCACAGGCCGCGGCGCGGGCCGAGGAGACCCGGCGACUCGAAGCUGGCGACGACGCGCGGCCCUACCUGGCCAACUCCCGCAGGGCGGGGAUCAUGGACGCCAGCUCCAGCCCGUGGUCGCCCAUGGUGACACCGAGCGGCUCUCAAAAGAGCCGCCGCCGGCGCCGGGCUUCUCCACAGUCGCCUCCAGAGGAGAGGGCGGAGCGUCAACGGGGCCCCGCGAGGUCCAAAACUCCUCCCGGAAGCCGCUCUGGGUUGCGGUUGGGUCCCUGGGGAAAUCCCAGAAGCGAUGGGGGCGGAACCGAUAGCGGAUGUGCCCGCCCACUUUCCCUCCCNGGCGAGUGCGUGACCUACUCCGCCNGUACUUUUUGCUCAAACCUGGAUGCUCAACGAAGCCGUACGCCAGGAUCUGGGUCGGAGAGGNACCUGACGACCCAACAAAGUUAGAUAUUUCACUAUGUUAGAAUGACAUAUUUAACUAGGUAAGGCCAUGCAGUAAUCCUUACAUUUGCUGUUUAGGGCACAAGGGUAAUCAUUGAUACAACCUCCAAAAAUAAAAUUAAAAAGUGGUGGAAUGGCAGCCAGAUGCGCUCUGACUGCAAGUUUGGAACCUGCUGUACUUUGAACACCCAUCCCUUUGCCCCGUUUCCUUCAGUGAUGCCCUGUGACGAGGAACUGUAAGCUGAAGCAAACCCUUUCCUCCCCAAGUCACUUUCCAUCAUCGUGUUCCAUCACAGCAAUAGAAACCUAACAUAGGACAGGCAACUCUGAAAACUAGUGUACCUGCUAAAAAGUAAGAAAAGCUAGCUAUUUUUAAAUCAUGUUGAGAAAGAUGACAAUAAUGACAGAGCUGAGGGCACAGCCCAGUGGAAGAGCACGGACCUAGCUCGUGAGGCUCCGGGCACAGAGGACCUAGAGUACUAAGCAAACUACAUUUAAACGAUUUUAAAAAAGAAGGCAUAGUUGCACAUGCCUACAAUCCCCUUACUUUGGGUAUAGAGGCAGAAGGAUCAAGAGUUCAAAGCCAUCCUUAGCUCUAGAAUGAGCUCAAGGGCAGUCUGGGAUACAGGGGAACCCUGUCUCAAAAAACAAAACAAAACCAAAAGCCACUANCACCACCANCAACAAAAACAACCCAGUAUGUCAUUCANCACUGAGGAGCACUGCAGCUCUGAAGUGCAGGACCCCAAACAGCAGAGCUCUGGCAAUUUAAUCCAAAAAGCAAUUUUUGAAACAAUUAUUUGUUUUUCACUUUACAUUCCAAUACCACCCCCUUCUCCUCCCAGUGCUGUUGGUGGGCCACCAUGGGUAGUCCACAUAUGUCCUAGGAUAUCUGUGAAUGUGAUCCAACACAACUGAGGGACAGCAUCAUCACCCAGUGUCAUGCUUGUGGAUCAAGAUGUAAGCANUCCACUAAUGUCCAGCACCAUGUCUGCCUGCCUGUUGCUUUGGUCUCUGCCAUAAGGGUCAUGGAUUCCAACCCUCUGAAACUGUAAGCAAGCCUCCAAUAAACUGUUAAUCUC